rnacentral:ncRNA from 1 species
AAAGAUAGAGGCGCGGGAUUCAUCAGUAGAUCGGGGAGCAUGGUAUGACAGCCAUCCGGUGAAAGGGGAAACCGCCGAAGGAACCUGACAGGUCAGGAGGCUGGUUCCUGGGACGUCACAGAAUAUGUGCCGUACUGUCACCUGGGUGAAGCGCUAUCGA